GAUGAACGCUGGCGGCGUGCCUAAUACAUGCAAGUCGAGCGAACAGAUGAGGAGCUUGCUCCUCUGACGUUAGCGGCGGACGGGUGAGUAACACGUGGAUAACCUACCUAUAAGACUGGGAUAACUUCGGGAAACCGGAGCUAAUACCGGAUAAUAUAUUGAACCGCAUGGUUCAAUAGUGAGAGACGGUUUUGCUGUCACUUAUAGAUGGAUCCGCGCCGCAUUAGCUAGUUGGUAAGGUAACGGCUUACCAAGGCAACGAUGCGUAGCCGACCUGAGAGGGUGAUCGGCCACACUGGAACUGAGACACGGUCCAGACUCCUACGGGAGGCAGCAGUAGGGAAUCUUCCGCAAUGGGCGAAAGCCUGGCGGAGCAACGCCGCGUGAGUGAUGAAGGUCUUCGGAUCGUAAAACUCUGUUAUUAGGGAAGAACAAAUGUGUAAGUAACUAUGCACGUCUUGACGGUACCUAAUCAGAAAGCCACGGCUAACUACGUG
rnacentral:rRNA from 1 species